AUUGAACGCUGGCGGCAGGCCUAACACAUGCAAGUCGAACGAGUGGCGGACGGGUGAGUAAUGUCUGGGAAACUGCCCGAUGGAGGGGGAUAACUACUGGAAACGGUAGCUAAUACCGCAUACCAUCGGAUGUGCCCAGCUGGGAGUAGCUAGUAGGUGGGGUAACGGCUCACCUAGGCGACGAUCCCUAGCUGGUCUGAGAGGGUGACCAGCCACACUGUAACUGAGACACGGUCCCGUCUCCUCCGGGAGGCAGCAGUGGGGAAUAUUGCACAAUGGGCGCAAGCCUGAUGCAGCCAUGCCGCGUGUAUGACGAAGGCCUUCGGGUUGUAAAGUACGUUCAGCGGGGAGGCGUUACCCGCAGAAGAAGCACCGGCUAACUCCGUGCCAGCAGCCGCGGUAAUAC
rnacentral:rRNA from 1 species